rnacentral:rRNA from 1 species
AUGAGCCGGUGCAUGAUCUGCGGCCUUAAACCGCUUUGCUGGGGCAGCCUCCCCUUUCUUCCCAUUCUCCAACUUCUCAGCAUCUGCAACCGCAGCAACAGCAUGCUUACUCCCACUGAGCCCAUUCGCCAGCUUCUUAUCCUUCUUCUCCUUGAGCUUCCCUCUCUCCUCCUCCAUCCUCUGCCUCAACACUUCCACCUCCUCCUCGGUCCCAUUGAUGGGCAUCUUGUCCGCCUCAUCGAACUCCUUAUGGCAGACCAAACACGAGGACGACUUCACCUCCUUGAGAGCCUUCACGCUCAGAACGUGGCCGCAUCCACGGAGCGCGAGGAACUGGGACUUGCCGUUGAGCUCGAACCCAGUGACUGGGCACUGGAAACGGACCUCCUGGUCCGCCGCGUUGGGCUUGGGGUGCAGGUGGAUGGGGAUCAUGUCCUUGAGCCCACGGAUGUGCGAGAGCGCCUUGGGCAGGCGCUUGUGGAUGAGCGCCUCGACGAGGGCCUCCUUGUUGAACAGGUUGCCGAGGCGAUCCACGACGGCGGGCGCGGCAAGGGGCUCCCCCGAGAGCGCGCAGCAGGUGAAGCGGGAGAGGCGGGCCUCGUUGGGGUCGGCCUUGUCGGGCUUCUUCGCGAGGUACAUGGAGAGGUAGCAGUCGCGGGACUCGGCGCAGGUGGACCCGCCAUCGCCGCCCCCGCCGCGGAGCGCGCGGAGGCGGAGCUGGAGCGAGCCGGACGGCGCGAGGGAGGCGACGGGCGCGGAGGGCGCGAGCGGGCGGCCGUCGGUGGUGAGGUAGAAGGAGGAGGAGGGGAGGGGGAGGAAGCUGAGGAGGUCGGAGACGGGGAGGUGGGACGCGACGGUGAGGUACCGCGGCGGGAGGGACAGGUCGUCGAGGCGGAGGACCACGGCCCGGGUCGCGCCGGUGGCGGGCGCCAUGGCUGGUGUGGGGCUAGGGUUAGGGUUUCGACGAUGGUGCGCCGGAUUCGGGAGCGGGGGAGGGGAAGCUAA